GAUGAACGCUGGCGGCGUGCUUAACACAUGCAAGUCGAACGAGAAGUGGAGACGGAAACCUUCGGGCGGAAGACUUUAUUUCGAGUGGCGGACGGGUGAGUAACGCGUGGGUAACCUGCCUCAUACAGGGGGAUAACAGUUGGAAACGACUGUUAAUACCGCAUAAGACCACAGCACCGCAUGGUGCGGGGGUAAAAACUCCGGUGGUAUGAGAUGGACCCGCGUUUGAUUAGCCAGUUGGCGGGGUAACGGCCCACCAAAGCGACGAUCGAUAGCCGAUCUGAGAGGAUGACCGGCCACAUUGGGACUGAGACACGGCCCAAACUCCUACGGGAGGCAGCAGUGGGGAAUAUUGCACAAUGGGGGAAACCCUGAUGCAGCGACGCCGCGUGAGUGAAGAAGUAUUUCGGUAUGUAAAGCUCUAUCAGCAGGGAAGAAAAUGACGGUACCUGAGUAAGAAGCCCCGGCUAACUACGUG
rnacentral:rRNA from 1 species